rnacentral:rRNA from 1 species
UACGUAGGGUGCAAGCGUUGUCCGGAAUUAUUGGGCGUAAAGAGCUCGUAGGCGGUCUGUCGCGUCGGCUGUGAAAAACUCGGGGCUCAACUCCGAGCUUGCAGUCGAUACGGGCAGGCUAGAGUUCGGCAGGGGGAGACUGGAAUUCCUGGUGUAGCGGUGAAAUGCGCAGAUAUCAGGAGGAACACCGGUGGCGAAGGCGGGUCUCUGGGCCGAUACUGACGCUGAGGAGCGAAAGCGUGGGAGCGAACAGG